UACGGGGGGAGCAAGCGUUGUUCGGAUUUACUGGGCGUAAAGGGCGCGUAGGCGGUCAGCACAAGUCAGUUGUGAAAUCUCCGAGCUUAACUCGGAAAGGUCAACUGAUACUGUGCGACUAGAGUGCGGAAGGGGCAACUGGAAUUCUUGGUGUAGCGGUGAAAUGCGUAGAUAUCAAGAGGAACACCUGCGGCGAAGGCGGGUCUCUGGGCCGAUACUGACGCUGAGGAGCGAAAGCGUGGGGAGCGAACAGG
rnacentral:rRNA from 1 species